rnacentral:rRNA from 1 species
UACGUAGGGGCAAGCGUUGUCCGGAAUUAUUGGGCGUAAAGCGCGCGCAGGCGGUCCUUUAAGUCUGAUGUGAAAGCCCACGGCUUAACCGUGGAGGGUCAUUGGAAACUGAGGGACUUGAGUACAGAAGAGGAGAGUGGAAUUCCACGUGUAGCGGUGAAAUGCGUAGAGAUGUGGAGGAACACCAGUGGCGAAGGCGACUCUCUGGUCUGUAACUGACGCUGAGGUGCGAAAGCGUGGGGAGCGAACAGGAUUAGAUACCCGCGUAGU